rnacentral:rRNA from 1 species
CGGCUUAACACAUGCAAGUCGAGGGGCAUCGGGACCUAAGCUUGCUUUCUUUGCCGGCGACCGGCGCACGGGUGAGUAACACGUAUCCAACCUGCCCUUUACUCGGGGAUAGCCUUUCGAAAGAAAGAUUAAUACCCGAUAGCAUAAUGAUUCCGCAUGGUUUCAUUAUUAAAGGAUUCCGGUAAAGGAUGGGGAUGCGUUCCAUUAGGUUGUUGGUGGGGUAACGGCCCACCAAGCCUUCGAUGGAUAGGGGUUCUGAGAGGAAGGUCCCCCACAUUGGAACUGAGACACGGUCCAAACUCCUACGGGAGGCAGCAGUGAGGAAUAUUGGUCAAUGGGCGCUAGCCUGAACCAGCCAAGUAGCGUGAAGGAUGAAGGCUCUAUGGGUCGUAAACUUCUUUUAUAUAAGAAUAAAGUGCAGUAUGUAUACUGUUUUGUAUGUAUUAUAUGAAUAAGGAUCGGCUAACUCCGUGCCAGCAGCCGCGGUAAUACGGAGGAUCCGAGCGUUAUCCGGAUUUAUUGGGUUUAAAGGGAGCGUAGGUGGACUGGUACGUCAGUUGUGAAAGUUUGCGGCUCAACCGUAAAAUUGCAGUUGAUACUGUCAGUCUUGAGUACAGUACAGGUGGGCGGAAUUCGUGGUGUAGCGGUGAAAUGCUUAGAUAUCACGAAGAACUCCGAUUGCGAAGGCAGCUCACUGGACUGCAACUGACACUGAUGCUCGAAAGUGUGGGUAUCAAACAGGAUUAGAUACCCUGGUAGUCCACACAGUAAACGAUGAAUACUCGCUGUUUGCGAUAUACAGUAAGCGGCCAAGCGAAAGCAUUAAGUAUUCCACCUGGGGAGUACGCCGGCAACGGUGAAACUCAAAGGAAUUGACGGGGGCCCGCACAAGCGGAGGAACAUGUGGUUUAAUUCGAUGAUACGCGAGGAACCUUACCCGGGCUUAAAUUGCAGUGGAAUGAUGUGGAAACAUGUCAGUGAGCAAUCACCGCUGUGAAGGUGCUGCAUGGUUGUCGUCAGCUCGUGCCGUGAGGUGUCGGCUUAAGUGCCAUAACGAGCGCAACCCUUAUCUUUAGUUACUAACAGGUCAUGCUGAGGACUCUAGAGAGACUGCCGUCGUAAGAUGUGAGGAAGGUGGGGAUGACGUCAAAUCAGCACGGCCCUUACGUCCGGGGCUACACACGUGUUACAAUGGGGGGUACAGAAGGCAGCUAGCGGGUGACCGUAUGCUAAUCCCAAAAUCCUCUCUCAGUUCGGAUCGAAGUCUGCAACCCGACUUCGUGAAGCUGGAUUCGCUAGUAAUCGCGCAUCAGCCACGGCGCGGUGAAUACGUUCCCGGGCCUUGUACACACCGCCCGUCAAGCCAUGGGAGCCGGGGGUACCUGAAGUACGUAACAGCAAGGAUCGUCCUAGGGUAAAACUGGUG